rnacentral:lncRNA from 1 species
CACACACACACACACACACACACACACAACACACACACACACAAUGAGUAAAUGUAAUUUUAAAACUAGAAUGUGUAAAAGUACGUGAGGUCUUUAGGCUCUGCCAGGUGCUUGUUUGUCACUGUAAGUUUAACUGUCCCAGAGCUAUUGCGCCUGUAAGCAGGUAUUGUUGUUGAUCCUUCUCUUAGGGAGACAGAGACAGACAUCUGUUUACCCCAAGUAGGGAAUCCACAACAGACUCAAGUAACAAUAUGACCCAAGUCCAAGUUGAGGAAUUGGAGGCAGUAACAUUCAAGGAUGUGGCUGUGAUCUUCACUAAGGAGGAGUUCAGGCUGCUGGACUCCACCCAGAGGAAGCUGUACCAAGAUGUGAUGGUGGAGAAUUUUCGGAACCUGCUCUCAGUGGAGUAUCAACUUUUCAAACAAGAGAAACCACAGCUAGAAAGAGAAGAGAAGCCUAGGGAGCAAGGUUCAGGUGAGUCUUCCGUUAUUCGUCCCUAGGACUUGCCAUCCACGGUCCCUGUGGCCAGCACUGUGUGGGCCAAACAGCAUGCUUUGAGCACUUGCAGCGUGUUAUGCUGGACUGCGUGUCAGGCACCGUUCUGGGUAGCUGCGGGAAAGCUGAGCACCAUAAAAUGUUUCUUCCUGUGGACACCGUCCUGUGGUAGGAAAGAUCCAUAAUUUC